ACUCAAAUGAAUUGACGGGGGCCCGCACAAGCGGUGGAGCAUGUGGUUUAAUUCGAUGCUACGCGAAAAACCUUACCUAGGCUUGACAUCCCGUGCUAGCCGAUGAAAGUCGGUGUUCUCUUCGGAGACGCGGAGACAGGUGCUGCAUGGCUGUCGUCAGCUCGUGUUGUGAGAUGUUGGGUUAAGUCCCGCAACGAGCGCAACCCUCGUCACUAGUUGCCAGCAUUCAGUUGGGCACUCUAGUGAGACCGCUUGGCUAUAAGCCAGAGGAAGGUGGGGAUGACGUCAAGUCCUCAUGGCCUUUAUGUCUAGGGCAACACACGUGCUACAAUGGGAGGCACAAUGCGCAGCGAGCCGGCAACGGCGAGCAAAUCGAAAAAAUCCUCCCUCAGUUCGGAUUGGAGUCUGCAACUCGACUCCAUGAAGCUGGAAUCGCUAGUAAUCGUCGAUCAGCACGCGACGGUGAAUACGUUCCCGGGCCUUGUACACACCGCCCGU
rnacentral:rRNA from 1 species